GGGGUUAUGGCUCAGAGGUAGGGCGCUCGCCUAACAUGUGUGAGGCAUUGGGUUUGAUCCUUAGCACCA
rnacentral:tRNA from 1 species